rnacentral:rRNA from 1 species
AGCCUACGGGACGGCAGCAGUGGGGAAUUUUGGACAACGGGCGCAAGCCUGAUCCAGCCAUACCGCGUGCGGGAAGAAGGCCUUCGGGUUGUAAACCGCUUUUAUCAGGGAAGAAAUCUUCUGGGCUAAUACCUCGGGAGGAUGACGGUACCUGAAGAAUAAGCACCGGCUAACUACGUGCC